CGCGCACCACACUCAUCGUUCGUGUUGGUCCAUAGCUCAUACUCAACUCUCUCAUCUGGAUGAGGCAGUGACUCGCUCCAGUCUAUCUUGAGGACUACUUCCUCUCCUUUCUUGAGAGCUUGCUUGAGGGUGUUUGCGAAAGAAAGGUCGAUUAAAGCAGAUGGAAUGGUGAGUUUCUCUAUGAAGUCAUCAGCUUCUUUUAAAACGUUCUCCAUCUCUCUCUCUCUCUCUCUCUCUCUCUCUUUUUAAUCUAGCGUGCUCCUUACGGCGAUAACUAACAUAAUCAUUUAUGAUCUCAUCAUUACUUAGGUUCUUCGAUUUAAAACAUCAAACUGUAUUUUUGACAAAAGAAAAGAUCAUACUCAUUUAUAACAAAAGUCCGAACCAAUUCAUUCAGUUAUUUACAAUACAGACGCCCUUUCAAAAUAUAACCCUAAUGAAAGUAGUAGAAAAUGUAAAAAUUGACCAGAAACGAAGUAUUUUUUUUUGAGGAUAAACAAUCAAAAGUAAAAACAAAAGAAAAUACAAUAUCUUCUUUUUUUUUGGGUCAAAUACAAUAUCUUCUUUAUGCUCUUUUCAAAGACUUUCCUUGAGGUUAACACAGCAAAUUCUCUAUUAAAAAAAGGUGAAAAAAAUUAGGCUGCAGAAGUUAGUCGCAGCUGUUGAGAUUCACCAGUCAUUGGAUCGGUAGUGUUUUGGCUCUCCAAUGGCAUGUACUGAGACAUAAUCGCCAUAAUUUCUGAAUCCAUAUAAGACUGCAUUUUGGUGUUUUGGAAAAAAAAAAUUAUCAUCAGAGAGAUUCAUGGUGACUAUGAAUUUAAGAGUUUUUAAUUCUCAAUAAGAGAAGCAAAACGUGUAAAAACAUACCCUGAGACGAUACUUGUAGAACACGUAACCACCUACACAGAUACCUCCAACUGCAGCUAGUAUCACAAAUGUAAAGAACCAUCCAAUUCCUGACCCGCUUUUCUCUGCGAAAAAAAACAAAAAAACAAAAUAAGAAUAUGAUUAAGAUCAUAAUUGUUUGUUUCUGACAUUUACCAAUACAAGUGUCUUGUUCUUUCAUGUAGAGACGAUUGCCAGAGCAUUUGCAUUCGAAGCUUCCCCAUUUGUUGUUACACUUGCAUCCAUCACAUUGACAUGCUGAUUUCUCCUUACAUUCAUCAAUGUCUAGUAGAUAUAUAUGUAUACAGAGCAAAAGAUCAAUCAGUUCAAGACAACAAGAUGAAAGAAUAUAACAUUAUAGUGUGGGGAAAAGUUUUUACCUUCACAUUUAAGACCAUCUCCUUUGAAACCUGAAGGGCAACGACAUCCAGAUGUCUCCGUGUUCUGAGAAUUCAACAAUAGAAGAAAAUGGUAAGAAACAGUGUGAAACUUGGAUGUAAAGUUUCAAACUGUAUGGCAUUAUUACCGAACAAGCGGAGAAAGUUAGGCCCUUUUUUGUUUCAGACCAGCAGCCUCCUUGAUUCAAUGAACAUCUUGCAGGUCCAUAAGCUGUUAACAACAGUCAAGAAAAGAUUACUUCUUUUUCAAAUCAGAACACAAAAUGUUUUUCUUUAAACAAUAUAGAAGUUAAAGAACAUACGUUCACAUGAAGUAUAGCCAUCUCCUUUAUACUGCACACCAUUCACAACAGGGCAUUCACAGACUCUUCCCCUAAAUGUGUCCUGAUAUAAUCCAAUUUAGGUGAAAAUCCCAUCAAUAUAUUUGAGAAUAAUAAUGAAAUAAUCAGGUAAAACUAACAUUUAAACGGUAUAUAAUCAAGUACCUUGCAAGCUGUUACAUUAGAUUUCUUGUCUUGCCAACAUCCUCCAUUUGCUUCAAGACAUUCAUUUGUUUCUAUAUCUGUUUUCAAAAGUGUAAAUAAUAUUUCUUUAGUAUUAUUCUGUUACCAGAAGAUGGUCAGGUCAGUUUACAAGGGGAAGUGGUUUAACCUCCACUUAGACAGAUCCCGGGUUCGGUUCUCUCCUUGAAACCUGAACAUAUAGCCUUUAAUACCGAACUACUCUCGAGUUUACCUGAGCAAUGAAUCAGAUUAACAACGUCAGAAUUUGUAACAUUAUAUAACAACAUAUUGUUCUAAACAAACAUGUUACAAUAAGAAGGAAUGAAACAAACCGCGGUAUUGAGCAUUGUUGAUGAUCAAUGUUGGCAAGAUUGUGACAUCCCCACGGUCUCCCUGUCCAACCUGAAGUGCUUGCUCACCUUUUAAAACCUCAUUCUCCACAUCAGCUGCAGGAUCACCCAUACAUUUCUUGAUCUUGUCAAGUGGCAAACCUGAGAAUAAGAGAGUUUUAUAAGACCCGGACUGUGAAGAAAAGGAAAAUGAAAACGAUAGUGAUGUCACUUACCUAGAGAUUCCACAACACUCUCUGCACAUUCUUUAGUAUACUUCUUCUCCUUCAUGGAACACCUAAUGUGAAAAUCAGUCACAUAGUCCCACCAAACCCAAGACUUGUUUAUCUCCUUCCCUACUCUAUGAACACAUAGCUGUCUCAAGUUCUCGAAAACAAUGUCUUUCCCAUCGUAUCCAUCUCCAAAGUCUUGUUCAGGGUCAGGAGCACAAUACCUCCCUUGGUUUAUACACUGAGACUUACACUGAUUGCUUGAAACAUAAUCUUUAGGACAAAACCAUGUAAUGUAAUGAGGUGUGAACAAAGAGUAUCCUCCUUUCUCGAGAAUCUGUGCGUGCCCUUUAAAGUUUUUUACAAAAUUCAUCUGCUCAUCGCACCGCGCACCACACUCAUCGUUCGUGUUGGUCCAUAGCUCAUACUCAACUCUCUCAUCUGGAUGAGGCAGUGACUCGCUCCAGUCUAUCUUGAGGACUACUUCCUCUCCUUUCUUGAGAGCUUGCUUGAGGGUGUUUGCGAAAGAAAGGUCGAUUAAAGCAGAUGGAAUGGUGAGUUUCUCUAUGAAGUCAUCAGCUUCUUUGGAUUCUUCAGGUGAAUCCAUUGUUAUCAAUGACUCGUCUACGUUAUCUGCUAUUAGAACUGCUGCUGCACCGGAUUUUUGACCGUUCCAUACCUUUAGUGCAAAGUAGCACUCUAAUGCCAAAAAAAAAACCAAACCACAAAAAAAACAAAUCAAAACCGAAUCUUUACCAUCCUUAAUUCUUCAGUCUACAAUU
rnacentral:lncRNA from 1 species